UUGACCGUGGCGGUGGAGGAGGAGGAUGAGGUAGCCAACACUGUAUUUUAUGUUUGUUUUUUGUUUUUUAACUGGGGUAGCCCCCAAAAUAUUGGGACAUAUAAAAAAAGACAACUCUGUUCUGCAGAGUAACUGUUAACAUUAUAGUUGCACAGGAACUUUGUUGACUCUAGAGAACCUUGGGCAAAUCGCACAUCCCCGUGGCGGCGACUUUGCAUGAGGAUGUCAUCCAUAUCAACUUUCGAUGCCAGUUUCUGUGCCUACCAUGGUGACCACGGGUAACGGGGAAUCAGGAUUCCAUUCCAUACUGGGACCCUGAGAAAUGGCUACCAUAUGCAAGGAAGGCA